GGAUAGCCCCGAUAGGGCUAGCGCCCGAGG
rnacentral:sRNA from 1 species